AACGCACAUUGCGCCCGCCAGUAUUCUGGCGGGCAUGCCUGUUCGAGCGUCAUUUACACCCUCAAGCCCCGGCUUGGUGUUGGGCGUCUGUCCCGCGGUUUCGCGCGCGGACUCGCCUCAAAGUCAUUGGCGGCGGUCGUGCCGGCUCCUCGCGCAGCACAUUCGCGCUUCUCGGAGGCCCGGCGGACCCGCGCUCCAGCAAGACCUUUCGCGACUUGACCUCGGAUCAGGUAGGGAUACCCGCUGAACUUAA
rnacentral:misc_RNA from 1 species